AUCCCACGAGGAGUCCUAAGUUAUUGCUUAACCUUUGCUAUGUAAGGGUUGGGUGUUUUAGGUGAUUGCCUCUUCUCUGUGCU
rfam:Rattus norvegicus high molecular weight DNA polymerase beta (rnpolb) mRNA, complete cds.